rnacentral:rRNA from 1 species
CUCGUAGGCGGCUUGUUGCGUCGACCGUGAAAACCUGUGGCUUAACUACAGGCUUGCGGUCGAUACGGGCGGGCUGGAGUUCGGUAGGGGAGACUGGAAUUCCUGGUGUAGCGGUGAAAUGCGCAGAUAUCAGGAGGAACACCGGUGGCGAAGGCGGGUCUCUGGGCCGAUACUGACGCUGAGGAGCGAAAGCGUGGGGAGCGAACA